rnacentral:rRNA from 1 species
CCUACGGGUGGCAGCAGUGAGGAAUAUUGGUCAAUGGCCGAGAGGCUGAACCAGCCAAGUCGCGUGAGGGAUGACGGCUCUACGGGUUGUAAACCUCUUUUGUCGGGGAGCAAAGAGAGUCACGUGUGGCUCAUUGAGAGUACCCGAAGAAAAAGCAUCGGCUAACUCCGUGCCAGCAGCCGCGGUAAUACGGGGGAUGCGAGCGUUAUCCGGAUUUAGUGGGUUAAAGGGGUGCGCAGGUGGAGGUGCAAGUCAGUGGUCAAAUUGCGGGGCUCAACCCCGUACUGCCGUUGAAACUGCAUCCCUUGAGUGCGCGAGAAGUAUGCGGAAUGCGUGGUGUAGCGGUGAAAUGCAUAGAUAUCACGAAGAACUCCGAUUGCGAAGGCAGCAUACCGGCGCGCAACUGACGCUCAUGCACGAAAGCGUGGGUAUCGAACAGGAUUAGAUACCCUUGUAGUC